GCCCCCGUCGUCUAGCGGCCUAGGAUCUCAGGUUCUCAUCCUGGAGACACGGGUUCGAGUCCCGUCGGGGGUA
rnacentral:tRNA from 1 species